rnacentral:rRNA from 1 species
GUGGAUUAGAUACCCUGGUAGUCCACGCUGUAAACGAUGACGACUAGGUGUGGGGGGGUUCAGUCCCUUCCGUGCCGCAGCUAACGCAUUAAGUCGUCCGCCUGGGGAGUACGGCCGCAAGGUUGAAACUCAAAGGAAUUGACGGGGGCCCGCACAAGCGGUGGAGCAUGUGGUUCAAUUCGAUGCAGAGCGAAGAACCUUACCUGGGCUUGACAUGUAGGAAGUAGAAACCGGAAACGGGGACGACCUGUUAAGUCAGGAGCCUACACAGGUGGUGCACGGUUGUCGACAGCU